rnacentral:rRNA from 2 species
UACGUAGGUGGCGAGCGUUGUCCGGAAUUAUUGGGCGUAAAGCGCGCGUAGGCGGGAUAUUAAGUCUAUUCUAAAAGUGCGGGGCUCAACCCCGUGAUGGGAUGGAAACUAAUAUUCUUGAGUACCGGAGAGGAAAGCGGAAUUCCCAGUGUAGCGGUGAAAUGCGUAGAUAUUGGGAGGAACACCAGUGGCGAAGGCGGCUUUCUGGACGGUGUCUGACGCUGAGGCGCGAAAGCCAGGGGAGCGAACGGG